CAUUUGUCAUGUGAAAAAUAAAUCAAACAAACAAUAAAACAACAUUCGGCAUCGCCACGCGUACGUUGUUCUUUCUGUACUACUUUAAAAAUUGCGCCAAAUUAUGGCGAACGUCGAAUGCUCGUGGCGGUGCUCUGCAGCGAGUUACGGCUUCGCCAUAUCCCUAUACUUCUGCUGAACUCUACGCCGCGCACGGAGUGCAAAUAGCUUGAAGGAGACGCCGAUUGCAGAUCCUAGUGAAGACGCAAAAUGAUUGGAGCACUGAAUUACAGUAUUCUGCUGCGCGGAUCAAGACUAUCCAGUUACUGGAAAGUUGCAUCAAACGUGAAGUUCGACAUGCCGUCGAACUCUACAACAGCAAUGAUGAAUAGAUCAUUAGCAAGAGAAAUGUGCAAAUUUGUGCCACAAAGGUCUUCAAAAUCAUUAAAAGUACAGGGCUUAGACGGUAUACCGCUUAGUUACGACAUUAUCUAUACCUCACAUGAAUAUCACACCACAGCUCAGUAUUUGUUCACAUAUAUGCCGGUUGGAGCAACAAUAGGAGGUCUUUGUCAAAUAGCAUUGGACUUUGAAACUUUCUUUCCUGAUCCGAUGAGUGCUGCCUUGAACAUAUGGAUUGCGACUUUAUUUUACUUUUUAAAUAUCAAAUCAGCUAUUCUGGCAUACAAGGCUCCAGUAAGAAUCUAUCACGACAAAGAAACAGGAAUUUAUAAGGCUAUCUUCAAUGACUGGAGGCCAUUUAAGAUCAGAACACUGGAGUUUAAAAAGGGAUCGGUCGCACAAAUUCCACCACCUGAUGAAUUCACUUGGUUUUCACACAGUAGAUAUCGUAUAAACGGAGAGAAUAUCUACAUGGUGCUCGAUUUUUUUAGAUACCCUAGUGAUUUGUACAAUAUGUUUGAUGGAGUAGCAGUUGAGACUGAGGAAGAAACCAAGAAUGAUGAUUAGCCAUACUAAAGUAACUGAAUCAUAUAACUGUUGUAUGAGUUUCUUGUAGUUCUUACAAACUAUUGCACAGCAUACAGUUUUACAUGUAAGAGAGUAUUAACACCAGAUUUUCGAUUGAAUAAAUUUAACACCAUAUUAAAUUAUGUUAUAAAAUUAUCUGCAAAUUUAAUAAAUCAGAAUAACAUUUUUUACUGUUGAUUAUUCGUAUUUCUGUCCCUUUUACAUUUUAAAAAAAUUGAUACAAAAGACUCACGUCGCAUAAUGAAAAACUAUAUGUACUUUGAAAGAAUACUUAAAUAAAAAAGAACCUUUUCGUUAUACAUUGUAUAAAAAUAAAUACAUUCAUUUCUCUUACACACAUCAUGUCAUGUGAACAACUAUAAAGACGCUAUUGCAAAAAUAGUUGCAGUGAGAUACUUUCUUAGAAUUGAAUUUUUCGAUUUGAUAUUGAUAUGAAUGCUUUAUAUAUGAAUAUUUCUAAUAGAUUGAUCAUAUAAGUAACGUAUUAUAUACUGUAAGACAAAGAAUGAUGUAUCUAAGUAAAUGAAAUUAAUAUAACUCGAUUCAUUUUGGUCACGAUAUGCAUGUAUAUAUUUUAAACCUACUUACGUUAUUACAAUGUUAAUAAUAAAAUAAUAUAACAUGACGAGUUACAAAAUAUUUCACUUAACUGCACUCGUCCUAGCGACGUAACAUCUCUCUUUAGAAUAUACAUAGAUUUGUUCUAGUUACGUAAAUUGAUAUAUUCGCUCGUGGACCUCAGUCGUAAGAAUUUGUUGGAGAGCACGUCAUUAAGUUCAUGUAUUGUACGUAAAACUGCAAUUCAUGAAACAUUGGAUAAAUUCACUGUGUAUGAACGCAGCAGUAUAGCUAAAUGCAUGAACACAAUUUGCUCAUACUAUUUUUAUUACUAAUGCUAAUCAAGCAUUUACAUAUAAUUGACAAAUGCAUUGUAUUUUAAACUAUCAGGCUUACUUAAAUGUAUGUAUAUCCUCUCUCUCCUUGAAGUUUUUCUCUGUAUCAAUAUUUACGUUAAAUGCACAUCAAUAGCUUACGUCUGAAUCAUUUAUUGUAGGAAAUUUGCAAUUUUCUUUCUUUUUUUUUUUGCGUUACCAAUUGAUUUAUACUUAUUUAACUAAUGGUUAAUCCAGCUCAAGACUAAAUAAAUGGAUGACAUAUGGUUUAGCAGUUGGAUUGUUACAUUGAGCAAAGCCUUUUCAUAUAGGUCCGUUAUAACGAUAGGCAAGUUCUGAGCAUGCAACUUGAAUUAUACACUAAUUACAGAGCAACUGAUGUACAUAAGACAUCAGUGAUCAUCCAACAACUAGAACAAUAAAUGUUGAGCCUAUAUUCUUGUUGACAUACUGUACACAAACAUUAUUUGAUAAACGAAAACAUACUAUAAUAAAUUGGAGGAUAUAAAUAAUCCAAUAAUUAGUCAAAUAAUAUUGGUAACAAGUUUCUCAAAAAUCGAAUCAACUAUGUUCGAAAUAUUGAUAGCAUGAUUCCUCUAUCUACGCAAGAUCUAAAAAUAUAAUUCUCAAGUAUUGCAUUUAUAGCCCCAUAGUGAAGUUACUGAUAUACAUAAAUGUUACGUAUGUGAUUGCUUAUUGUGAAUUGUUUAAGAAAAUUUAAUAAAUAUUUUGUUUAUUUUAUGACUAUUAAGUAAGUAUUAAUUUAUCAGAUCAGGAUAUCUCCAAUAACGUUCUCAAGUGGCCUCAAGAUGGUAAAGAUUUAUAAUACAGCCUGUAAGAGCUAAUUAUAAUAUGAGGCAAAAAGCAUUUUGUUUUUCAUAAACUCUGGAACGACCAAAUCUUUUUACAUUAAAGAUACAAGAUUUUUAGAA